GGAGGGUACAGCUCAAGCGGUAGAGCGCAUGCCUAGCAUGCCUGAGGUCCUGGGUUCAAUCCCCAGCGCCUCCG
rfam:Camelus ferus unplaced genomic scaffold scaffold1024, whole genome shotgun sequence.